UUGUCUCAAAGAUUAAGCCAUGCAUGUCUCAGUACAAGCCAAAUUAAGGUGAAACCGCGAAAGGCUCAUUAAAUCAGUUAUGGUUCCUUAGAUCGUACCCACAUUUACUUGGAUAACUGUGGUAAUUCUAGAGCUAAUACAUGCAAACAGAGCUCCGACCGGAGACGGAAGGAGCGCUUUUAUUAGAUCAAAACCAAUCGGUGGCGGGUUCGCUCGUCAUCGUACAACUUGGUGACUCUGAAUAACUUUACGCUGAUCGCACGGUCUCGCACCGGCGACGCAUCUUUCAAAUGUCUGCCUUAUCAACUGUCGAUGGUAGGUUCUGCGCCUACCAUGGUUGUAACGGGUAACGGGGAAUCAGGGUUCGAUUCCGGAGAGGGAGCCUGAGAAACGGCUACCACAUCCAAGGAAGGCAGCAGGCGCGCAAAUUACCCACUCCCGGCACGGGGAGGUAGUGACGAAAAAUAACGAUACGGGACUCAUCCGAGGCCCCGUAAUCGGAAUGAGUACACUCUAAACCCUUUAACGAGGAUCAAUUGGAGGGCAAGUCUGGUGCCAGCAGCCGCGGUAAUUCCAGCUCCAAUAGCGUAUAUUAAAGUUGUUGCGGUUAAAAAGCUCGUAGUCGAAUCUGUGUCCCACGCCGUCGGUUCAUCGUACGCGGUGUUAACUGACGUGUCGCGGGACGUCCUGCCGGUGGGCUUAGCUCGCAAGGGCGGCCCAACUCAAUCCCGCCGCGGUGCUCUUCACUGAGUGUCGAGGUGGGCCGGCACGUUUACUUUGAACAAAUUAGAGUGCUUAAAGCAGGCUAAAACUUCGCCUGAAUACUGUGUGCAUGGAAUAAUGGAAUAGGACCUCGGUUCUAUUUUGUUGGUUUUCGGAACCCCGAGGUAAUGAUUAAUAGGAACGGAUGGGGGCAUUCGUAUUGCGACGUUAGAGGUGAAAUUCUUGGAUCGUCGCAAGACGGACAGAAGCGAAAGCAUUUGCCAAAAACGCUUUCAUUGAUCAAGAACGAAAGUUAGAGGUUCGAAGGCGAUCAGAUACCGCCCUAGUUCUAACCAUAAACGAUGCCAGCUAGCGAUCCGCCGACGUUCCUCCGAUGACUCGGCGGGCAGCUUCCGGGAAACCAAAGCUUUUGGGUUCCGGGGGAAGUAUGGUUGCAAAGCUGAAACUUAAAGGAAUUGACGGAAGGGCACCACCAGGAGUGGAGCCUGCGGCUUAAUUUGACUCAACACGGGAAACCUCACCAGGCCCGGACACCGGAAGGAUUGACAGAUUGAGAGCUCUUUCUUGAUUCGGUGGGUGGUGGUGCAUGGCCGUUCUUAGUUGGUGGAGCGAUUUGUCUGGUUAAUUCCGAUAACGAACGAGGACUCA
rnacentral:rRNA from 1 species